CACCCGCGCCACGAGUGGGAAUCACAGUUAUUGGGUUUAAAGCGUCCGUAGCCGGUUCAACAAGCUUUUUGUGAAAUUGGUCAGCUUAACUGAUCAGCGGGCAAAAAGGACUGUUAAACUAGGAACUAGGAGAGGUUGAGAGUAUUCCUAGGGGAGCGGUAAAAUGUUAUAAUCCUAGGAGGACUACCGAUGGCGAAGGCACUCAACCAGAAUAGAUUUGACGGUGAGGGACGAAAGCCAGGGGAGCGAUCCGG
rnacentral:rRNA from 1 species